AGACCUACUGGAACCUCACUGUUAUAGGCUACACUUGGGAAAACCAUCAUAUUGAAAGACAUUGUCAAAGUUCAAGAAGAAAUGAAAGGUCUAUGAGGAACAAAAAGUCAAACAGUGUGAAUGCAAUGUGGAAACCUUUCAUCUGUUAUUCUUCUUUUAAUAUAUAUAUCAUGUGUCACAAUGGAUAAAAGCCAUGUGAGCAUAGGGAUAUUGAAAGAAGCAAAGUACCGCAUUCUAUCCCAAAACUGUGAGAAAAUUGUCAGAUUCUAUCUUUGGUAGACAUUCUGAAUAUGAUAAAAGUUUGCAAUCAAUUGGUUUUCUAAUUUUACUGGGAACUUCCCUAAGCUCAUACUGUAGAAAAUCUUUAUGGGUACUAGGAAUUUGGAAAUUCUUUUGUUUGUCCUGGUUCGCAGUCAAAUGUGGUACAAUUCACGCUACAGGAAAAAUUACGAAACCAAUUACUGUUAUAAAGCUAUGAGUUGUUCUAUUUUCCUCAUAUAGAUGAAAUACAUCAUAUAAAAAUCCCAUAUAAAAAGGAUGUUAUAAAUGUCAGCCAUGUAAUAACCAUCACAGAUAUCUCGAAAGAUGCAAAACAACCCAUAAUGAGGGAGAACCCCAUGAACAUAUGAAGUGAUAAAACCAGAUGAUCUGGUCCACCUUUAUCAGUAGACUAAUUUGUAAACUUUAUUCAUCUUGAUGAAAUGACUGAACAGGGAAAUUAAUGUAG